AGAGUUUGAUCAUGGCUCAGGAUGAACGCUAGCGGGAGGCUUAAUACAUGCAAGUCGAGGGUGAAGCUAUUUUCGGAUGGUGGAAACCGGCGCACGGGUGAGUAACGCGUACACUACCUACCUCAUACUGGGGAAUAGCCUUUGGAAACGAAGAGUAAUACCCCAUAGUUCCCGAUGUAUUUCGGGAUAAAGUUCCGGCGGUAUGAGAUGGGUGUGCGUCCCAUUAGCUAGUUGGUAGGGUAAAGGCCUACCAAGGCAACGAUGGGUAGGGGGCGUGAGAGCGUGAUCCCCCACACGGGUACUGAGACACGGACCCGACGACUACGGUCGGCAGCAGUAAGGAAUAUUGGACAAUGGGCGAAAGCCUGAUCCAGCCAUCCCGCGUGUAGGAUGACAGCCCUACGGGUCGUAAACUACUUUUGCUUGGGAAGAAACCCCUGGAUUUACUCCGGGGCUGACGGUACCUUGCGAAUAAGCACCGGCUAACUCCGUGCCAGCAGCCGCGGUAAUACGGAGGGUGCAAGCGUUAUCCGGAAUCACUGGGUUUAAAGGGUGCGUAGGCGGCGUUAUAAGUCAGAGGUGAAAGCUUGCAGCUUAACUGUAAAAUUGCCUCUGAUACUGUAGUGCUUGAAUCAGGUUGAGGUCAGCGGAAUGUGGCAUGUAGCGGUGAAAUGCAUAGAUAUGCCAUAGAACACCAAUUGCGAAGGCAGCUGGCUGGGCCUGUAUUGACGCUGAGGCACGAAAGCGUGGGUAGCGAACAGGAUUAGAUACCCUGGUAGUCCACGCCCUAAACGAUGCUAACUCGAUAUGUGUCCUUUUGGAUGCGUGUCUAAGGGAAACCAAUAAGUUAGCCACCUGGGGGAGUACGUCGGCAACGAUGAAACUCAAAAGGAAUUGACGGGGGGUCCGCACAAACGGUGGAGCAAGGGGGUUUAAUUCCGAUGAUACGCCGAGGGAACCUUUCCUUAGGGUCUAAUGGGACCGGCUACCUGGUGGAAAACCAAGGGUUCCUCUCUGGACAAGGAAAACAAGGGGGUGCUAAGGGU
rnacentral:rRNA from 1 species